rnacentral:rRNA from 1 species
AACGAACGCUGGCGGCAUGCUUAACACAUGCAAGUCGAACGAGAACUCCGGGUCUUGUGGCGCACGGGUGCGUAAGGCGCGGGAACCUGCCUUUAGGUUCGGUAUAAUUCCCCGUUAGGGGUGCUAACACCGGAUAAUGUUUUCGGAUCCAAGAUUUUCUGCCUCUGGAUGGGGCCGCGUUUGAUUAGGUAGUUGGUAGGGUAAGAGCCUGGCAAGGCGACGAUCCAUGGCUGGUCUGGGAGGUGGACCAGCCACGCUGGGACUGAGACACGGCCCAGGCUCCUACGGAAGACAGGGGUAGAGAAUAUUGGACAAUGGGCGAAUGCCUGAUCCAGCCAUGCGGGGUGUGAGAUGAAUGCGUUAGGGAUGUAAAGCUCUUUUGCCCGGGGUGAUAUUGACGGUACCGGGAGAAUAAGCUCCGGCUAACUCCGUG